UACGUAGGUGGCAAGCGUUGUCCGGAAUUAUUGGGCGUAAAGCGCGCGCAGGCGGUUUCUUAAGUCUGAUGUGAAAGCCCACGGCUCAACCGUGGAGGGUCAUUGGAAACUGGGGAACUUGAGUGCAGAAGAGAAGAGCGGAAUUCCACGUGUAGCGGUGAAAUGCGUAGAGAUGUGGAGGAACACCAGUGGCGAAGGCGGCUCUUUGGUCUGUGAACUGACGCUGAGGCGCGAAAGCGUGGGGAGCAAACAGG
rnacentral:rRNA from 1 species